GACAGAGGGUGCGAACGUUGUUCGGAAUUACUGGGCGUAAAGGGCGUGUAGGGGGCAGCGCAAGUGGGGGGUGAAAUCCCACGGCUCAACCGUGGAAGUGCACUCGAAACUGCGCAGCUAGAGUCCUGGAGAGGAAGGUGGAAUGCUUGGUGUAGAGGUGAAAUUCGUAGAUAUCAAGCGGAACACCGGUGGCGAAGGCGACCUUCUGGACAGUGACUGACGCUGAGACGCGAAAGCGUGGGGAGCAAACAGG
rnacentral:rRNA from 1 species